rnacentral:lncRNA from 1 species
AGCUCGGCGGGGCCUGGAGAGCAGCGUUCCCCGCGGCCCAUUGUCUCCACAAACCUUUAUUGACAAAACCUUCGCUUUUGCAGCUUUUCCCUCUCCCUGCGAAUCACCGUCCUCCUCCUCCUCCAAGUCCCAACCACCACCCUCACCGGCUCUUGUGGCUUUAGCUGAAAAUGGUGUUUAGGGUGAGGGUUUUGGCCUCGUGGCCACAGCCACAGCCACAACGGAUCACCAUCUGGGACCUUCACCAUCUGGGACCUACACCGCAGCUUGCAGCAAUGCUAGAUCCUCAACCCACUGAGUGAGGCCAGGGAUUGAACCCGCAACCUCCUGGAGACAAUGCUGGGGACUUAGCCUGCUGAGCCACAGCCGGAGCUCCCAUCUCCUGGUAAUAAAGAAGAAAGGAGAACAGCCAGAACGAAGGCGCCCCAGCCCUUGUGAGCCAAGCAGGAGAAAAUUUUGCUUUUUCAGUUACCAUGGAGACCGGACGUACCCGUUCCCCUGAGCCGUCUGGAAUACUGGACAAAAACGCAUGAAACAACGGUUCCGAUGUCGCCUCCCUCCUUCCCCUCAUCCCAUCCCUGUGCCUCCCUUCACUCCGUGAAGCCUUUGAAGAAUGUCAUCCUGUUCGUCUCGUUAGAACGAAACCUCCUCGAAGCUGGUGGCUGGGUCUUGUUCUGCGUCUCACGCGGCCCGCUUGCAGGCAGCAGAGGGCGCGUGAACACACAAAAGACACAAAAUUGAUGAUAGAUUUAGGAUUGUCCAUUAAAGUUUCAACAGUGUGAAUUUCAC